AGGUAAUGUAAAAACUAAUGCUGUGCCAAAUACUGCAACAAACAGUGGAUUAUAAAUGAACCCUUUGGUAUGUUUUUUUCUGACACGCUCUGCUAGCCCUUCUCCCCAGAAGGCUCUACUCUGUGGCUGGGAACAUGCUGGUACCAGGGUUUCUUACUGACACUUCUCCUCUUGGAUUUUCAUUUACUGUAUGCCUCCGAACAAUAAUACCCUUCAAUAAAUUAGGUGAAACUAAUGGCAAAGAUAUCGAAGAACAAUGAAAAUACUUUUGACCUGCCUGUAAAAUGACAGUAGAUAAUAAUCUUUACAAUUAACACUCAUAGAAAAGAUGUUCAACUCUUCACCAAAAGACAUUACUUAAUUUCUGGUUCAGACUUAUGCAGAGAACAGCUAAAUGCAAACCACCUGCUUAUAAUAAAUAAAUCCGUGUACAUUAGCAUGGAAGUUUUGAAUAUGAACAAACGGAAAAAGGAGAAGUUGCUACAGGACUAAAGUUGGAGUCACGUGGUUUCAAAGUUUGUGGAAAGUUUUUUUUUCUUUUUUUUAUGCUCUGUGUGUGUGUCAAGCUUUUAGAUGUGAGUCCUUCAAAGUUGUCAGACUACGUUUCCCUCCAGCUGGUUUGGAGCUGAUUUUCCAACUUCAUUUACAAUACUCUGAAGUCUAUUUUGGAGCUUCUGCCCAGGAUGUAUUAUUGGGCACAAAGAAAGGUACGGGAAUUACUGAUAAUUGUUGCCCAUGUCUGUGAAUCUGAGCAUUGUUUAAAACUGAGAUACAAUUUUCUGAUCUUUUAAAAUCAGUAAUCAUCAUAGCUGUAAGCUGCCUAGACAUGGGCAAGGUAAUAAUGACACCAUUAAGAAAUAAGAGUUGUUGAGUUUUUGAAAUAAUAGUUUUUGGGUGCUUAGCAGGAUUAUCUUACUUAAUCGUUAUAACAACACUAUGGAGAUGGGUAUUGCUAUUUUCCUUAUUUUGCAGAUGUCAAAACUGAGGAUUAGAAAAUUGAGUACCUCAUCCAAGGUCACACAAAUGACAAAUAUUAGAGCUGCUGUUUGCACCUAAAUCCCCUGCUUUGAGAGCCCAAAUGAAGCAGCAAUAGAAAAUCCAUCUACUGGUUAUGCAAUUUGUCUAUAUUCUCUGAGGACAAACUUUGUGCAAAUAUGAAGAUAGAAAAUCUUGGGUAACUCUGGUGAGACCAGUUUUUGUUUGUUUGUUUUUGGUUUUAGUCUUGGUUGUUGUUGUCUUUUCAUGGAAAUAAGCAAUUCUGUCUUCGGAGAUAGCAGGACCAUGGAUCAACUCUGGCUGUGCAACGCGAGAUUCAACGGUUUGGACCAAGUUGAUUUAUUGCUUGAAUUAAAAGAUAUUCACAUUUAUUACUUGAAUUAAAAGAAGAUGAACAGCUAAUUCCAUCAGACACACUAUGUAGACUUAGGUGGAGGGAGGACUCGACAAUACCCAAACUUAGACAGCUGUACUGAACAGGCUCUCUGCUUAUAUGGUUAGACAGCCAUAUAGAUGAGCAUUGGCCCAUGAAAACAUAAUCUGAACCACAAAUACAAGCUGUAUAUGUAAUCUAACACUUUCUUCUAAUCACACUAAAAAAAAAGCAGUGGGUAAAAGAAAAAAAUAUAUUUCAUUUAGCUUAAUAUAUACAAAA
ensembl:lncRNA